rnacentral:lncRNA from 1 species
UUUCCUUAAAGGGAGUAACUGGUAUAGUUUGGAGAGUUAGGAGUUUAUGGCACUCCCUCUCUCAAGUCAAGAAUGCAUGUCUUUGAGAAUCAUCAAGCAACAUAGGAUGUACUUCCAAGAGGAGAUUUCCUGAGCUGUGGAUCUCACCAGACCUGCAUUGGAUUAAGCAGUGCAUGGCCAGGAGCUCAUGGAAGAUGUUGUUGGAUUCCCUCCACCCGUAAUCCUGGAGUCCUGGAUUGAAACUGUCCUCUUGAAUCACAGGCAGGACCAAUCAAAUCCGAACCCGCUAAAGGAGGCUGAUUUGAAUGGAAGAGAGAGCCACAUUUAUACACAAAGCAUCUGAGUGAGUGGCAGCAGGAUUUCAGCCAAUGACCCCGGCCGGGUCCCACUCCCUACACUGAUGAUGGACUUCACUGUGAACAGCAUACUUGUAGGGGUGGGGGAUGGUGGUGUAACGAGUAAUUCCCUCUCAUAAGGAGGCCAGAGACCCACUGACAAACAUGAAGCUCUGGUUCAGAUCCAUUGAGACAAAAAAAAUAAAAAUAAAAAUAACCCGGACCGCUUGAGUGAAUAGUCAGGAACUAUACAAGAUUUGUGUUUUUGAAAAAUUCUCCACGUCAGUGUACAGUGGAAUGAGGAAAUGCCAUUGUGGGGGGAGGGUAAGGAGACAUAGAUGCCUUUCUGUAAAAUUAAUUAACAAAUUAGUGGUUGACGUAACAUUCUCUCCGUUGAUUCUCUUGUCUCCGGGACGAAGCGCACACUCUGCCGCUGACUGCGCCUUUUGACUCAUCAGUAUCACUCACAUCAUCUGUUGCCUCCUGUCUAGCUUUUUUUUUAGUCUCAGAUGAAACAACUUGUGCCUCUUCUUUCAGCUUGGUUUCCUUGUUUGUUGAUGCAAUGGGAACCAACCAUCUGCCUAAUCAUUUAAAGAAAAUUUUUUAAUCAGGCUUUUUGGGUGAUUUAAUCCAAAACUCACACUUUUCCCCCAUUUUCAAAAAAAAUGAAUCUUACUCGUGAGGACAAAACAUCAAACCACAGUUCGCUCCAAAUUGUUCUCGAUGUUAUAUUUUUAACAGAAUCCCAGGCAUACAUAAUAUUAAAAAUUACAUCCCUGAUGCUAUUGUGAGAUUAAAAGUCUGGCAUGGUGCCUGGAUAAUGGAUCAUAUGAUUAUAUUGCUUACAAAACCUCUUCUGCAAUAUUUCAGUUUCUAAGUAACACCCUCAACCAUGGACUAAAUCAAUGGGGAAAUACUAACAGCCAGAAAAGAAAUAAUGGAACCCACCCUAAGAAAGCAUCAACAGGAUAGCUUUAUUUUUAUUGCGUGAGCUUUUGAUUCUGUGGCGCAACCA